AAAAGCCAAACUAUCUGUGCACUAUAAUUUAAGAUUGGCCGACCUGACUACAGAGUCAAAGCCUUGGCACUUUUUGUCACUUCCAGGAAUGCUUCCCUGUACCAUCGAGAUCUUCUUUCUGGUCUUUACAUAUUCCAAGUACUAGAAACACAUAUUCACAUAAGCUAAAUAAAAAAGCAUAUGGAUAUUUGAAACUACAGGUGGAAAAGGUGUCUAUUUUAUUUAAAUCUGGCAAAAAAAGAGUUAAUGUCUGAUGAAUCCUUUGUGCUAGUAAGCUUUUGGACUGUGCCACUAUUCCUGCCAGCCCAGGUGGAGCUCUUCAGGUGCUGUUUCUGUUUAUAACAAGGAACAUCAUUCUUUUCCUUUGUGCCAGGAAGAAAUUUGAGAAGAUCAGUGAAAAGAAUUACAAAUAGCAUGAAGUGCUGGCUUGAUACUAGUCAGAGACUCCUUACUAACAGCAAAAGUCUCUUGAUCCCUCCUUUCAGAGAACAUGGAACAGUCAGUUACUAGUUUGCAGGUAAGAUUCGGAUAUCUACUUUUUGCAAAAAGUUUUAACUAAAUUUCAGUAUUAAAUAUGCAUUUUCCAUCCAAAAGUCAAAGUGGAAUUUUGGGCAAGGUGGCAGAAGACUUUAACAGACAAAAGUUUUCAGUUUUGACAGGAAAUUGUCUACAUAAUUUAUGUAUUUAUUUCAGUAUCUUUAUAAUUCUUUAAACAAAGUGUUUUCGUGUAGCUGUUCUUGCUCUCAUAAUUUACUCAGAAACAGAGAAAGGAGAAAGAAUUACAAGUAAUGAAAUAGAAAAUAGGCUGCUUGGUUGAAGCAGGCAGCAGAGCAGAAUAAAAAUGGGAAGGUACUGAGAAAGACUAGCAACAUGUUUAUUGCCAAGCAGUGGCAAACUAAACACAGAUAUAAAAUAUAUUGCAGACUCAUAGAUCUGUACAGAACUUGACUGGUUACCAAAUCUCAAUCUUAGAAAUAACUUACUUAAACACAAGGAGUACUCUCACUUAACUGUGUUUAGUGACUGCCUCAAAGGCAAUUGCAGGUAUUUGAGAAUUUGUUUCUUUAUUCAAAACAUGAUGCCAGAUAAAGACUUAUUGAACAGUCUGAAAUAUGAUUAGAUGUUCAGGCAUGUUUCACAUCCAGUGUUACACUUUAUCCUAAUGUCUAGAGACAGCAUCACUGAAAGUGAAGAAAUCAUAUAGUAUUUCAGGUCCUUCUGACUGAAAUAGGGCACAAGGUUAGUCUUUAAUUAAUUAUCUCUUCCUAAAAUGAAAGAAGUAUAUUUGCGACCUACCUAUACAAUUUGCAAGGCAUCACACUUAUAUAAAAACAGAUGAUCUGAGUCAUCAUAAUCUUCAGUAACCACAAAUAUACCACUGCCGUUUAAGCUACAUAUUGUAUCAUUUUUUUUUUUUUGUCAUGCAAGUAGUCUAAUUCAUUUCAGUGAACUAAAGACAUGUUCUGCUUUACCAGAUAAAAAUGCUUGUUUGGUAUGAAUUUAAUCUUUAUGUUCUUCAUUUCCUCUUAUUAUUCAGAAACAUAUUAUUCAGAAACUCUUCUGUUCUUGGAGAAAAGUUGGAGCAAGGAAAGCAGUCAGGAAUGAAUGUUUCUGUACACCAGUCUUACAGACAAAAUACAUCCCAAUUCAUACUAAAUGCUGGAGGUAAAACCACAAUACAAGCAUAUCUUUCAAAAUUGUGUGUCUCAUAUCAAGUGAUGUAAUAGAAUAUUUGGAAAGCUUAAACCAAAAUGUAUUUCAGAAAACUACAGUCAUUGAUUCUCGUGACAAUGGCAGAUGCUUAAAAUCACUUCUUUACAUUUCACUGAAUGGAAAAAAGUAUAUUGAAACACUUUCAAGGUUUUAAAUAGAGAUGUUCAGGCAGAGAUAAAAACAAAAAUAAUGCACAACAGACUACAGAUAAAUAAAUCACAACAACAAGUAAAAUAACAGAAAUGCCAAAAGCUCAUUUUCAAGACAGAUGCCUAAAUUAUUACUUAUGCUCCUUUUAGCAAUUUAAUUAAAGCUCUCACAAUCAACAUAGAGUCUGUAUGAAAACACUAUAAUAUGAAGGCUGCUCAGAAAGUAAUGUCUCCUAUUUUAUUGUGUUGGUCCACAACAUCGGAGGCAGAUGUUGGUGGUAUGACAGUAGAGGCUAAACUUUCCCACCAGUAUUCAGUUACAUGUUGUUGCCAUGCGACAGAUGGCAGCAAAGGGGCAGUCAGACAAAAUGAUGUCUGAUAUGGAAGUGCCUAUGAAACAAAGGUGUGGAACGGAAUUCCUCCAUGUGGAAAAAUGGCACCUACUGGUAUUCAUUGAUGCUUGCUGAAUGUUUAAGGAGACCAAACAGUGAAUGUGAGCACAGUGAGGUGGUUAGUGGUGCAUCUCAGCAAUAGUGACAGUGACAGUGGGUCACCUCUGCUGGUGUAGAUUUUUACAAGCAUACUAUGCCAGCUUUUGUUCAUUGCUGGUGAAAAUGCAUAGUUAAUGGUGCUGACUACACUGAAAGAUGGUGUUCUGUAGCUGAAAGUUUGCUGAACCAAACAGUGUUACCGUGCUCUCUGUAUUUGUCAUAGUUUCCAUAGAAAUAAAUAGGAGGCAUUACUUUUGGUGUGACAUACAUAUAUAUUAUAAACAUAGCCAGUAUUUUAGCUGAAGAAAUAAAUGCUUUGAUCUUGCUAUUGGGUGAACAGGAGUUAACCUGUGCUGAGCUCCAUUACCUUUCAAGGAGCUCUAUGAAGAAUGAAAGUAUGUACAUGUUGUCUCAUUUCCAAAAUGGGGGCUCUGUUUUGCAAAACAAAUGCUAGCAGUAAUGCCUAAAGACUGAAAUGACUUUGAAGCUCUCUAUGCAUCUCACAGGUCAAUCCUAAUCUUGAAGAAAAAAAUUCCUGUCUAAAACAUUGUUGUCUGUUCCACACAUGAUCUCUGUGGCAGACAACUGUAUUUCUACCUAAUUUCCUCAGCAUCUCUACAUGGUCCACUGAGUGUAUAUGAACAUAUGUACUGUAGUAUUUCAAACCCUUUCUGCAUGUUAUGUUAUGUUGCAUACAGCAGUGGAAAUCAGAGAUCAGAUUGCAUUCUUUUAAGAAACAAUAUACAUAGGAAUUUCAGGGUUCAGAUCAGGUGCUUGAAAAGUUGCCUUCCUGUAUGCUGUCUGUACUU
rnacentral:lncRNA from 1 species